CAUCAGGAAGUAAAGGAGACUCAUUACAUUCUUUAGGAAUUGAUUCUAAGGAUGCUUGUUGAUCAAGUGUAUCAAGCUCAAUGGCUGUAUUAUAUGUCUUAUUCCGACGCAUGUGUGUUCUCAAAUCCAAUCUAUUAGCUCAAUGGCUGUAUUAUAUGUCUUAUUCCGACGCAUGUGUGUUCUCAAAUCCAAUCUAUUCAAUCUCACUGAGAUUUGAGGAGGUGAUUGCUCUUGAUUAGAGGU
rnacentral:misc_RNA from 1 species